CUCGCGUUUUGAGCAAGAGUUGUUAUAAAACAAAACAAACAAACAUUUCUGUUGUUGGUUAAAUAUUAUUAUUCUUAAAAAUCGUCACGGGGUUGCUAGCACAACACUUCAAACACAAGAAAAUGCUAUUUCGCAAAGUUGUGCGUUUUCGCCGACAAUUUCUGCCCUUUUACGUAUUCAAUGGAUUUUUGUGACAAAACAACGAAACGCGUUAUCAGCGCUUGCGGUAUAACAAUUACAGCAGCAAUCAACAAAGGCGGGAUUCAACUCACAACAGCCUACUGGAUAACAAUGUAAACAGCAACGUGAUUAUUAAUAUUG